rnacentral:rRNA from 1 species
AUUGAACGCUGGCGGCAGGCCUAACACAUGCAAGUCGAGCGGAUGAAGGGAGCUUGCUCCUGGAUUCAGCGGCGGACGGGUGAGUAAUGCCUAGGAAUCUGCCUGGUAGUGGGGGAUAACGUCCGGAAACGGGCGCUAAUACCGCAUACGUCCUGAGGGAGAAAGUGGGGGAUCUUCGGACCUCACGCUAUCAGAUGAGCCUAGGUCGGAUUAGCUAGUUGGUGGGGUAAAGGCAUACCAAGGCGACGAUCCGUAACUGGUCUGAGAGGAUGAUCAGUCACACUGGAACUGAGACACGGCCCAGACUCCUACGGGAGGCAGCAGUGGGGAAUAUUGGACAAUGGGGGAAAGCCUGAUCCAGCCAUGCCGCGUGUGUGAAGAAGGUCUUCGGAUUGUAAAGCGCUUUAAGUUGGGAGGAAGGCCAGUAAGUUAAUACCUUGCUGUUUUGACGUUACCAACAGAAUAAGCACCGGCUAACUUCGUG